UUGAUAUUCACCUACCUAUGGAUGUUAACAUGCCGAAAACCAGUCAUACAAAAGGAGAACAAAAACGUCAGGCAAUGUGCCGUGCACGUGAUGCUGUGUCAACUGAAGCCCGAGAUGCCUGCUGGGCCAGCAAUGCUGCACUCCAGUCAAGGCUAUGUGCAGCUGAAAGUGACAACCAAUGGACCACCCAGCUGGCCAGCAAUGCAGCACUCCAGUCAAGGCUCCGCACGGCUGAAACCGACAACCAAUGGACCACCUGACUGGCCAGCAAUGCAGCACUCCAGUCAAGGCUCCGCACGGCUGAAACCGACAACCAAUGGACCACCUGACUGGCCAGCAAUGCCGCACGCCAGUCAAACUGAAAAUCAGUUAAGUUGACGACUGUAUAGCGAUGCCACCUGUCAUGAAAGGCAUCGAGAUGCUGAAACACCCGAAGUGCAAGCAGUAGGCCAGAUGUAUGACCGUGAACAACACCAUCACCACAGAGAGGACGAGACACCUCAACAGCAAGAGGAACGACGGGAAAGAGAUGCCCUGUGCCAUCAGGAAACUCAGCAUGCACAUGUGGAACAGGCAUGCAAAAACAAUCACAACCUCACUCGGUGUGAUGAUGCAAACGUCUUCCGAGAGAAACUGUACGACUUUUCGCCUGCUCUGCUCUCCAGCUCCUGUCACUCUGCUCCCCCCGCCUGCUCCGUUAACCCCACUCGGGAUUCAGCCUCCUGGACUGCACCCCCCCUCCCAAACCCCAAAUGUUUGUGUUUCAUAUGACUGAGCCUGCAAUUAAAAUAUUUAUUCCUAUCUCAUAA